AUACCAUCAAGUCUCACAAAAAUAUCCCGUAUUAUAAGAAAGCCUUACCCUCACACAUCUCAGCCGUCACAACCACUGUAUCAUCGUCAUUAUCAACCCCUCCUCGUCAGGUUGGUAAAGGUACUUGGCUAUGAGUGAGGAGACGCUUAGAAUAACCACCUAGUCAAGAGACAAUUUCUAUUUCAGUCUAAGUUGGAUUUGUUAUUUAUUUUUAUGGGAUUUGGUUGUAAUAUUUUUAUUGGCCACCUUUAGACCACUUAGUUAAUUUUGACUUUAAUGGUUUUAAA